rnacentral:tRNA from 1 species
GGUGGCUCAGUGGUAGAGCACUUUCUUUGCAUGCAUGAGGCCCUGGGUUCGAUUCCCUAGCACCA